CAUUUAUUGAUCGAUAAGAGAGUCCUUUAAAAACAUAUUCCCGACAAUAAUGAGAGGAAAAUACCUUGAAAUAAGGGAAAGUCCAAAUAAACGUUUCAGUUGACACGGUGAGGACUACGGAGACGGAGAGAGAGGCCAGGUAACUGGAGGCGGUUCUGAAGUUCUUGAUUAAGACGGAUGAUAAUACUUGUGGCGAUGAGGAAUUUCACUGACUCUUUGGCGGAGGCGAGCGAUGGUUUUCACACCUUUCCCGGUUGCAGAUUCUUUCUUCGACGAUCGUCUUUGACCGACGUCAGUUCCUCUCCCGACGACUUGCGUCUGUCUUUUUGGUCCGACUUCUUUUCUAUUGUCCCCUUCACAAAGUCUCCCACGACCGUUUUUAUACUGUCUUUCUAUUGUCUCCCUCAUAAAGU
rnacentral:lncRNA from 1 species